rnacentral:lncRNA from 1 species
UCUGACAAAAUAAUGACUAACUUUUCAAAAAUUUCAAAAUAUAUUUUAAUUCAUUUCAACAGCUAUUUUCAAAUUUUUAAUGACUAAAGUAUUAAUUAUAGAUGUUUUUGAACUAAUAAAUGUAAAGGAUUCAUGGAGGGAAUCAAGUUUUUCAAAACUUUUUGGAAGAAGAGAAGUCUAUUGAGUUAUUCUUCUUAAGAAAGUGUGAGG